GGAGGUACCGUCAAACCUACGGAUUAUUUACCCGCAGGCAUUCUUCCCUCUCGACAGAAGUUUACGACCCUAGGGCCUUCAUCCUUCACGCGGCGUUGCUGGGUCAGGCUUUCGCCCAUUGCCCAAUAUUCCC
rnacentral:rRNA from 1 species